UGGAUUCCGCCAAGCUGAUUUCUACAUUGUCCCUUUGCCGUGAGCUUCGUGAUCUGCUCCUAGUGUUUACAGCAUAGAAUCCGAGAUAGACUCUCCCACUAAGAUGAUGUACAUACGCUCGCUUGGUUGUGGCCUUUGUGAUCAGCUCUUUGGGUCCGUAAUAGAAACACAGUAAUGGAUUCCCCCAGGACAGACUCCACAUUCUCCGUUGCUCCCGAGCUUCAUGAUGAGCACUUUGUGUUUGUAGUAUAGACACAGUGUGAGUAUCGUCAGUGUUCUUAUAUUGGUUGGGUUGUCUGAAAGGCUGUUCCCUGGACUGAUA